UGUGCAGGAUAGGGUGUAGUCUCUGG
rnacentral:piRNA from 1 species